CCUACGGGUGGCAGCAGUGAGGAAUAUUGGUCAAUGGCCGGAAGGCCGAACCAGCCAAGCCGCGUGAAGGAGGAAGGCGCAGAGCGUCGCAGACCUCUUUUGCCCGGGGACAACACGCCUGACUCGUCCGGCCCUGCGGGUACCCGAUGAAAAAGCACCGGCUAACUCCGUGCCAGCAGCCGCGGUAAUACGGAAGGUGCGGACGUUAUCCGGAUUUAUUGGGUUUAAAGGGUGCGAAGGCCGCAUUUUAAGCCUGCGGGAAAAUGGGCGGGCUCAACCCGGGCCUUGCAGCGCGAACUGGCGUGCUUGAGUGCGCGGAAGGCAGGCGGAAUGCGCGGUGUAGCGGUGAAAUGCUUAGAUAUGGCGAAGAACCCCGAUUGCGAAGGCAGCGUGCUGUGGCGGAACUGACGCUGAGGCACGAAAGCGCGGGGAUCGAACAGGAUUAGAUACCCUGGUAGUC
rnacentral:rRNA from 1 species